rnacentral:rRNA from 1 species
UGCUAAUACAUGCAAGUCGAGCGAAUGGAUUGAGAGCUUGCUCUCAAGAAGUUAGCGGCGGACGGGUGAGUAACACGUGGGUAACCUGCCCAUAAGACUGGGAUAACUCCGGGAAACCGGGGCUAAUACCGGAUAACAUUUUGAACUGCAUGGUUCGAAAUUGAAAGGCGGCUUCGGCUGUCACUUAUGGAUGGACCCGCGUCGCAUUAGCUAGUUGGUGAGGUAACGGCUCACCAAGGCAACGAUGCGUAGCCGACCUGAGAGGGUGAUCGGCCACACUGGGACUGAGACACGGCCCAGACUCCUACGGGAGGCAGCAGUAGGGAAUCUUCCGCAAUGGACGAAAGUCUGACGGAGCAACGCCGCGUGAGUGAUGAAGGCUUUCGGGUCGUAAAACUCUGUUGUUAGGGAAGAACAAGUGCUAGUUGAAUAAGCUGGCACCUUGACGGUACCUAACCAGAAAGCCACGGCUAACUACGUGCCAGCAGCCGCGGUAAUACGUAGGUGGCAAGCGUUAUCCGGAAUUAUUGGGCGUAAAGCGCGCGCAGGUGGUUUCUUAAGUCUGAUGUGAAAGCCCACGGCUCAACCGUGGAGGGUCAUUGGAAACUGGGAGACUUGAGUGCAGAAGAGGAAAGUGGAAUUCCAUGUGUAGCGGUGAAAUGCGUAGAGAUAUGGAGGAACACCAGUGGCGAAGGCGACUUUCUGGUCUGUAACUGACACUGAGGCGCGAAAGCGUGGGGAGCAAACAGGAUUAGAUA